GGGGGUCAGGUAGAGAGUUAGGUCAGGUAGGGAGGUCAGGUAGAGAGUUAGGUCAGGUAGAGAGGUCAGGUAGAGAGUUAGGUCAGGUAGAGAGUUAGGUCAGGUAGAGAGGUCAGGUAGAGAGUUAGGACAGGUAGGGAGGUCAGGUAGAGAGUUAGGUCAGGUAGGGAGGUCAGGUAGAGAGUUAGGUCAGGUAGAGAGGUCAAGUAGAGAGUUAGGUCAGGUAGGGGGGUCAGGUAGAGAGUUAGGUCAGGUAGGGAGGUCAGGUAGAGAGGUCAGGUAGAGAGGUCAGGUAGAGAGUUAGGUCAGGUAGGGAGGUCAGGUAGAGAGUUAGGACAGGUAGGGAGUUAGGUCAUUUAGGGGGGUCAGGUAGAGUGUUAGGACAGGUAGAGAGUUAGGUCAGGUAGGGAGGUCAGGUCGAGAGUUAGGUCAGGUAGGGAGGUCAGGUAGAGAGUUGGGACAGGUAGGGAGUUAGGUCAGGUAGGGGGGUUAGGUAGAGAGUUAGGACAGGUAGAGAGUUAGGUCAGGUAGGGAGGUCAGGUAGAGAGUUAGGUCAGGUAGGGGGGUCAGGUAGAGAGUUAGGACAGGUAGAGAGUUAGGUCAGGUAGGGAGGUCAGGUCGAGAGUUAGGUCAGGUAGGGAGGUCAGGUAGAGAGGGCAGGUAGAGAGUUAGGUCAGGUAGAGAGUUAGGACAGGUAUAGAGUUAGGUGAG
ensembl:lncRNA